AUACAGAGGGUGCGAGCGUUAAUCGGAAUUACUGGGCGUAAAGCGCGCGUAGGCGGCUACUUAAGUCAGAUGUGAAAUCCCCGGGCUCAACCUGGGAACUGCAUCUGAUACUGGGUAGCUAGAGUUUUGGAGAGGGAAGUAGAAUUUCAGGUGUAGCGGUGAAAUGCAUAGAGAUCUGAAGGAAUACCAGUGUCGAAGGCGACUUCCUGGCCAAAAACUGACGCUGAGGUGCGAAAGCGUGGGUAGCAAACAGGAUUAGAAACCCCAGUAGUCC
rnacentral:rRNA from 1 species